rnacentral:rRNA from 1 species
GAUGAACGCUGGCGGCGUGCCUAAUACAUGCAAGUCGAGCGAACGGACGAGAAGCUUGCUUCUCUGAUGUUAGCGGCGGACGGGUGAGUAACACGUGGAUAACCUACCUAUAAGACUGGGAUAACUUCGGGAAACCGGAGCUAAUACCGGAUAAUAUUUUGAACCGCAUGGUUCAAAAGUGAAAGACGGUCUUGCUGUCACUUAUAGAUGGAUCCGCGCUGCAUUAGCUAGUUGGUAAGGUAACGGCUUACCAAGGCAACGAUGCAUAGCCGACCUGAGAGGGUGAUCGGCCACACUGGAACUGAGACACGGUCCAGACUCCUACGGGAGGCAGCAGUAGGGAAUCUUCCGCAAUGGGCGAAAGCCUGACGGAGCAACGCCGCGUGAGUGAUGAAGGUCCUCGGAUCGUAAAACUCUGUUAUUAGGGAAGAACAUAUGUGUAAGUAACUGUGCACAUCUUGACGGUACCUAAUCAGAAAGCCACGACUAACUACGUG